UUCAAAAUGUCAACUUGGAUUUGGAUUUUUUCCGGCUAAAAAUGGUCCGUAGCUUUUCUCAGGAUCGGUUUUGUUUUUAUCGGACGAAACUGUACGUCAUGUUUGACGUCACCAGCUGUAACAGAAAUUGAAAACACAGAGGAAAAAGGAUUUAUCAAGUCUCUGUUAAAAGUAAGUAUUUUGUAGUCUUUGUUAUAUUACGUUUUUGAGAGUUUCAUAAUUUCAGAGGUCCCUAAAUGUUUGAACUUUAUGUACAGCAACAUAACGCAUAAUUACUCAACAGUCCUUGCAGGCUAUUGUGUCGUAGGCUGUGAACGACGUGCCAGAUCUCUCCUGUGUUGGAUAUUUGUAUAUCAGCAUUACUAUUUUUAUUAGGUCUAUUUAUUGUUCAGUUGGUUAAAUUUGUUUGAACACUGAAGCCUGCCGGUACAUCUGUACUGCCACCCUACGUACGAUACGGAGAAAAUUCGAAAGUGAAAGUAGAAAUCUUGUACAAUUGAACAAUAACCAUCUCCGAUCUCGAAGUUGAAGUUAAACACACAAUGUGAGCGAUGUUUUCCCUGAUUCUAACAGUUCAUCUUAAUUGGUUUCACCAUUAUCGAGAAAAAAAACCCGAUUUGAUAUUUUUUUUUAUUGUAUUUUAAACAGCUGGAACUCGGUAUCACAUCUGACUUGCACUUCUGAAACACUGUGAAAUGGAUCAAAUCGGACUUUGUCGUCGAGACUCGGAAGAACCCAGCUGUCUAAAUUAUUAUGCCAUUGGAACACAAAACAGAAAAGAUACUUGUAUGCAAGGCAUGGAGAAUAGAGCAGACUACAGCCUCUAUAUACCAUUCCUUGGUGCCUCCUUGAAUUGAUGUUUUUCAGGAUAACCAUACAGGAACAAAGGUUAACUCAGUAUAAAGGCUUGCUGACAUAAACAGAACAUGAUAAUCACAAGAAAGUGAAUAUAUUUCAUCACCUUAAGCAAUCUUCAAAAUCCAGGUAAAGUGCAUUUAUUCUGAACACAUAUCAAAUAUUUAGAACCAUUUAAUAUGUCACCCCUAAUUUUUUUUGAAAGUAUACUGGAAACACGAUGUCUGUUUGCCAGUCUCACUGUACAGUGUAUAGUAAAAUAUAUGGAAGUAUAUAGUUUUUAAAUACUAGUAGCUUUUUAGUUCACCUGAGCCGAAAGCUCAAGUGAACUUUUCAGAUCACAUUUUGUUCGGCGUCUGUCUGUCCAUCUGU